UCGAGUCGAUUCGAUCUGAUUCGCGUUCGAUUGAAUUAUUCGAUGCACGUCUCGUGUGCAACAUUUUUAAUUUAAGUUCGACGGAAUCGCGUUCUGUUUUUUUCUCUGGUACGAUUCGUGAAUGGAUUUCAAAUGGGAUCGAAACGCAUCAGUAAUAACGGUUAUCAGCAGGACCAGAAUAAAAUUUAUUUAGUGAUUUUCACGGAACACAGUCGUCACGUACAUAUGAUUCUAAGUCAUAUAACACGAUUUUGAAUAACACGGAAUCAAUUAACCGUAUUAUUCGAGGAUUUCAUGUAUAUCAUAAGUUUGAAAUCAAAUAAAUAAAUAAAACGGAUGAAUAUUACACUGUCAAAAGUAAAUAGAAUCGCGUCCUGCAUAAAUUGUGCGAAGUUUGGAUUUCGACAAGAAAAAUGACACGAAUGAAAAGACGUUUGAAGCGCGUCGCGUCGCAGACUGAAGUUUUGCGACGAGUUUCGUAGGUUGGAUGCCGGGACGCCAGGAUACCGGGGACUCCGCGACGCAUGCUCCAGGAUAUGUUACAUGACACAACGGAUGUGUUUAAUAGAGAAUUUAAAUGCGAAGAAUUUCAAGGAUUCUAUCAAUGAAAUAUUUAAUUUAAAUUUUUAAUUUGUUGAAAUAUACAAUUCUUUAAUCGAAAGGAAAAUGAUAUUAAUUGGAGUUUAUAAAUAAUAAUAAGAAGGAAUUUGUUAGAAUUUCUGCAAUUCAGUACAGAGUAUAAAGCGUUUGAAACUCAUCUUUCCAUCCUCUUGUGCUCUUGUGCUAGAUUAUGUCGAACAAUUUAUUACUCACACGCUUACUCUAUGGCUUACGAUCCAAUACCAUCUUAUUAAUGCGAGGCUGUCGUAUCGAGAUCGGAGAUGGAAGCUGAAAUAGUGAACGAGCCAUCCUAAAGGUUAUCGUAGUUUUUGAACAUUCGCCUUGAAAAAGCAUCUUUGUUAAAAAAUUCAGACUUUUAUUAUCAUUGUCUGAAUCAAUGAUAUAUUUUUUUGAA